GUUGUGGCUCAAUGGUAGAGAGCUUGCCUAGCAUGUAUGAAGCCCUGGGUUUGAUCCCCUGCACCACA
rnacentral:tRNA from 1 species